rnacentral:sRNA from 1 species
AUACCUCUUUGAUGGUGAAAGACCCAGACCACCUGGAUUUUAGCUUUAAUGGAAAUAACUUGAGUCUUGAGUUGAAAAGCAGAACUUGGUCUCCAAUGUUGAAAUCUUUUGGUGAGAUCUUUUUGUCAUGAAAAGCUUUUGUUAUUUCUUUGUAGAUUUUUGAAUUCUCAUAUGCUUCCUGCCUAAUGCCUAAUCUCUUCCAGUUCAUGCAGGUCGAUUGGUCUUUUUUCUUGAGCUCCCUUGAUUUCCAAAUUCAAAAGUUUGGUUGCCCAAAUGGCUUUAUAUUCCACUUCAACUGGUAGAUGACAAGAUUUCCCAUAUAGCAUCUGGAAUGGGGUUCUCCCAAUAGGCGUUUUGUAUGCGGUUCUAUAGGCCCAUAAAGUCUCAUCAAGUUUAGUUGACCAAUCCCUUUUUGAGACACCAACAACUUUUGUGAGUAUAUCCUUCAUCUGUCUGUUUGAUACUUCCACUUGGCCACUGGUCUGAGGGUGAUACGGAGUGGCAACCUUAUGUUUAACCUCAAGUUUUCUCAAUAGACCUUCAAAGACUUUGUUUAUGAAAUGUGAGC